AUGGGCGCGGGGAGCAAGCAGCCAAGAUCAUUAGCCAUCCGCUGGCAUGCGGCGAGGCACCGUUCCUUCACUCCGAUAGUGUGGUGUCUAGCGGCAUUGGUCAUGCUUCUUAUUUUCCACCUCUUCAUCAGCCAUAAGGAGGAACAGAUUGUGAGAGGGAUAGAGGAGGUGGAGGAGGAAACUUUCCCGGUGAAGCUGGCCCGGAGCUGGAGGAAUCCACCGGCUGUGCGGCGCAAGGGGGAGCACAGGACACUACCCGUGGUGGACGAGUUCUUGGUUGAGUCUUCUGCGGUGCAUCAUGCGUUCUUCCAGGAAGGGAAGGCGGCCAUGGAUCCAGUGAAUGGUGGGAAUGCCAGGAGGUACUUGUACUACCCAGGGAGGGUUUGGCUUGACACUGAUGGGAAGCCGAUCCAAGCUCAUGGUGGAGGUGUGCUGUAUGAUGAGGAAACCCAGACCUAUUUCUGGUAUGGAGAGAAUAAGGAUGGCAAGACCUACAAAGCUCACGACAAGGGACCUGAUCGGGUCGACAUUGUUGGAGUAAGUUGCUAUUCUUCAAAGGACCUGUGGUCUUGGACAAACGAAGGAGUUAGGCCCAAGGUGAUCUAUAACAACCGGACCGGCAACUACGUGAUGUGGAUGCACAUAGACGAUGCAAACUACACCAAAUCCUCAAUCGGCGUGGCGAGCAGUGAUUCUCCCACAGGGCCAUUCACUUACCUCUACAGCAAGCGCCCACACAACUGUGAAAGCAGAGACAUGACCAUUUUCAAGGAAGACGACGGGAAGGCCUACCUGAUAUACUCAUCCAAGGGCAACAGCGAGCUCCACAUUGCCCGGCUAACCGACGACUACCUCGACGUGACCGACGACAUGCGAAGGAUCCUCGUCGCACGGUAUCGGGAAGCUCCGGCGCUCUUCAAGUUCGGCGGCACCUACUACAUGAUAACCUCGGGUUGCACAGGCUGGGCACCCAACACUCCAAAGGCUCACGCGGCGACAUCGAUCAUGGGUCCUUGGGAGACCCUGGGCAAUCCUUUCCUGGGAGGGAAUGAGAUAUACAGAUCGACAACGUUCUUCUCCCAGGGUACGUUCGUGUUGCCGGGGCUGUUCAUCUUCAUGGCCGACCGGUGGAAACCGUCCGAUCUGAGGGAUUCGAGGUACGUGUGGCUGCCUUUGACAGUACGUGGACUUCCUGAUGAGGCGGCAGAUUCCAGCUUCAUGUUCCCGCUCUGGUCCAGGGUGUCCAUUUACUGGCACAAAGUGUGGCGCCUUCCUGAGAAAAGUUACCGAGUGACUUAG
rnacentral:rRNA from 1 species